UUCCACCUCCCCGCUCACCCCCAGGGUGUCCAGUCCCCUUACUUCUGUUGACGCCUGCCCUGCACUUGCCUUGCACUUGCUCUGCACCUGCCCUGCACCUGAUCAGAACACAAGGUGGCAUCCAUGCUGCCUCACCCCAUGCUCCAGAUGGUGGGGAAACUGAAGUACGGUGAAAUAGAAGGGUUCUGACUGCCAACACACAGCUAGAAAGAGGAAGAACCGGAAUUUGAACCCAGGUCUUGUAGACCCCAGCUGUGCUUCUGACCAAAGACCCCAUGAACUCUCUCCUGAAAGAGUCCCGCCCAUCCCAUAAGACCAAGCCACACCCCCAACCCCAUUGUCCUAGCAAGCUCUUCUCAGGCCCUUCUCGGGCUGAAGCCUUUGGUGCCCCAUUCAACUCCACCUCGAGACUUGAGCCUAGGUUUCUGCCCCUCUGACUGAGAAGAAUCAGAAAACCAAGCUCGUUGACACUAUCGCGCCAGCACCCUUGCCACCAGCACCUGGUUUCUUGGCCACUGAGCUGCCACCUGGCCUCUCAGGGGAGAAAGAGUCCAAGUUCCCUUCUACAGGCACUGGCCCCUGAUUCUGCCUGGGAAGUCCCCGUAGUCCAGCAUCCACUUCCUUGAAUAUUUGUAAUAGUGGCUAAGACUUCUAGACAAGCUGGGGCUGAUACCCUCUCAGGGCUUCAGGUCCACUGGCUCAGGAAUCCUCAACAACUGCUGAGCUGUCACCAGUGAUCACAACGAAGUGGCUUAGCCCAAGUGUGUUUCUUCCGGUUCUGUGGGGUGGAGGUCUAGGACCCCCUGGGGUACAAUCGAGGCAUUGGCUGCAUUCCUUUCAGGAGGUUCUGCGCAGGAUUUUGUAUCCUUGCCUUUUUCAGACUCCAGAACUCACCCACUUGCCAUGUUUUGUGGCUUCCUUCAUCUUUUUUUGGGGUACUGGGAAUCGAACUCAGGACCUUGCACUUGCCAGGCAGGCGCUUAUGCCACUGAGCUGUAUCCCCAGCCUUUUCCUUCAUCUUUAGCAUCAGCAAUGCCAGGUUGAGUCCUCACGCCGCCAUCUCCCUGGUUCUCUCUCCUGCUUCCCUCUUCCUGUUUGAAGGACCCUGGGGAUUACAUUGGGCCCACCAGCUAAUCCAGUAUCACCUCUCAUGCUCGGGUCAGCCAGUUAGUCACCUUAUGCCAUCUGUGAUCAUAGUUGCCUCUUUCUCAUGUAGCCAAGCAGAGUCACAGGUGUAAGGACAGGGCGUGGACAUCUUUGGGGGUUAAUCUGCUUCACAGCUCCUCUUGAGUUAGGAUUUUUUUUAUCCCUAUGAUACUGAUGGAGAAACUGAGGCACCCAAGUUCACGCUGUCAAGCAACAAAAGUGGGCUAUAAACCCAGCAGUUGGGAAUAGUUCAUCUUCUUAAAUUCCAUACGCUACUGCUCUCAUUUGUCCACAGUCAUUGGGUUACAAAUUCUGUUCCAGGUUCAGGGGACCGAGGGGUAACCAAGAUUGGAUCCCUGUUCUCAGAGAGACACAGAUAUAGAACGCAGGAAUUACCCUGCAUUGGGAAGAAUGGGAGAUGGCAGGAGCCCAGGGGCCUCCUGGAGCACAAAGAGUCCACCUGCAGAGGAGUCAGGAAAGAUGUCUGCCUGAGCUGAGAGCUGCAGAGUGGGUGAGGGGUUAGCCAGCAGUACCUACUGCAGAAGGACGCUGUGUGAUUAAAGGCAUCAAUACAUGUAAGGUGCUUCUACCGGUGCCUGCACCCUGGCAGAAUGCAAUAAAUGUUGGCUGCUGAGAGGGGUGGUGAGAGGACUCUCCCAGGCUGGGUAAGAGCUUGUGCAAGGAGCUGAAAGCUUAGGGUGGCCGGGGCAAACAAGGUGAAGGGGUUCUGGGCACAGAAGCUGGAGCAGUCACUGAGAAUGGGGGAUGCACGCCAGAGCUGCACAGAGACCUGGGAGAGCCUGAUGCUCUGGAGAGCUACCCGUGAGGCUACCUGGUGUGCCCCUCAGUCUCCACACAGGCCCACCCAGGGCUCUGAAAAAGGCACUACAUCGGGCCUGGGGACAGGAGUGGGCUGCUUGAGGACUGGGCUCGGGGGGAGGCUCCCCAUAACCCAGCUGCUCCGGCUAAGUCCAGGGGUCCCUUGCUUUCCACACCCAACUCCUCAGCAAGUCCGGUUGCUCCAUGUAUCAGGGUAACACUAGCUGCAGUGACAGAUCCUCAAAUCUCAGAGGCUUAACACAUGAAUAGUUCAGAACAGGUGUCCCCAGUGGCAGGCAGCCCUGCAGGGUCCCUUUGGGCCCAUGCACUCAGCCUGCAGGUUGGGCGAGGGGUGGAGGGCAGGAGGACUGGGUUCUAGGGGCCAGACCUGGGCAUGCACAUGUCACUUCUGCCCAGGUUCCGUUGACUACCCCUAUGUCCCAUGGACACUCCUAGGUGCCAGGGAGACUGGACAAUGUGGCUAGCUGUGUGCCCAGCUCCACCUCCCCAGUACAUCCUGGGUCCCUCCACUUUUCUCCGUCUCUGGUGCUGUGUGCACAUGCGGACUAUGCCCUCCACCACCCCCCACUUUCCCCACAGCAGCCUGAUGCUUUUUUUUUUUUGAGAAAUGAGACUCGAGUCUGGAAUCCUUGUUAUGAGCAUGUUUUCCUGCUUACAGCUUUCCGUGGCUUUCUAUUGUGCUGAUGAAUAAACCCAUGUAAGACCCUA